GACGAACGCUGGCGGCGUGCUUAACACAUGCAAGUCGAACGGAAAGGCCCUGCUUGCAGGGUACUCGAGUGGCGAACGGGUGUGUAACACGUGGGUGAUCUGCCCUGCACAUCGGGAUAAGCCUGGGAAACUGGGGCUAAAACCGGAUAGGAGCCCUUCUUCGGGUGGUGGUUGGAAAGUUUUUUCGGGUUGGGGUGAGCUCGCGGCCUGUCUGCUUGUUGGUGGGGUAAUUGCCUACCUAGGCAGGGACGGGUAGCCGGCCCGGGAGGGUGGACGGCCACAAUGGGACUGGGAUACGGCCCAGACCCCCACGGGGGGCAGCAGGGGGGAAUAUUGGACAAUGGGGGCGAGCCCGAUGCAGCGACGCCGCGGGGGGGAUGACGGGCUUCGGGUUGGAAACCCGUUUCGCUAGGGACGAAGCUUUGUGUGACGGUACCGAGAUAAGAAGCACCGGCUAACUACGUG
rnacentral:rRNA from 1 species